ACGCCUGUACGCUUUGUCAUAUUGACACAAAAAUUGACACACAUAUGUAUCUCAAUAAGAUCUACAAAAAAGUCAGUGCGGGCGUAUCUGUCAAAUGUACGGUUAAAGGGUUAUUUCGCAUUUUUUUGCCGAUCCGCACACAUUGGAAUUUCGCUAACUCCUCCGAAGGCUUUCGUUCCACCGGCACCACAUUUGCUCAGGCCAAUCUACACCCCAUGGCCAUUAAAAGUUAUUCAAAUCAUGACGCUGCACCCCACGGUUUACAUUCUAG